AUGGAUGUCACCAUUUCUGCCUGGCCUAGUGUCUCUUUGCUUCUGAUGUAAAUAAUUUACAGCGUUAAAGAUGAGUUAACAGCGGGUCUUUGAGGGACAGAAGAACAUUCUAGAAUGAGGGAUUGUCUUCAUAAUAAAGUACUCUGCUGGGCAGGGGACGAUUCCGCAUCGAGACAAGCAUCUUUUCCAUGGUUAUUAAUCCGGUUGGAUGGGACUUUUUAAUAAUUAAGUGGGAUGACUGGAAUGGAGGGCUGAGUAGAAGAGCAUAAGCCUGGAUUCUGCCAUUAAGGAAGCUGAUGCAGGAGAUCACCACCCAGUGAAGCCCUGUCUCAAAAUGAAGAAACAAACAAAAACCUGGGGCAAGAUGGCCGGCUCAGGGUUAAGAGUGGUUGCAGAAGACUCACACUCAGGUUGAAGCACCCGAGUCAGGUGACUCCAGUUCCAGGGCACCCAGUGGUUUUUUGGUCCUCAUCUGGCACCUGCACACACCCAUUUAAAAACAAAAACAGACACUGGAGAGACAGCUCCGCAGUUAAGAGCACUGGCUGCUCUUCCAGAGAGGCCGAGUUUGGAAGUUCCUGGCACCCACAUGGGGGUUCGCAAUUGUCUAUAAGUCUAAUUUCAGGGGAUCCAACACCUUCUGACCUCCUCAAUCAGCAGGUAUGUCCGUGGUACACAGAUAAACAUGCAGACAAAAAUUAAUAAAAUCCACACACAUAAAUAAAUAAA